rnacentral:rRNA from 1 species
AUUGAACGCUGGCGGCAGGCCUAACACAUGCAAGUCGAGCGAGCGGCGGACGUGUGAGUAAUGUAUGUGGAUCUGCCCGAUUGCGGGGUCUAACUACUUGCCACGUUGUCUACUACCGCAUUCUCUCGUCUGAACCCCUAUGGGAUUAGCUAGUAGGUGGGGUAAAGGCUCACCUAGGCGACGAUCUCUAGCUGGUCUGAGAGGAUGAUCAGACACACUGGGACUGAGACACGGCCCAGACUCCUACGGGAGGCAGCAGUGGGGAAUAUUGCACAAUGGGCGCAAGCCUGAUGCAGCCAUGCCGCGUGUAUGAAGAAGGCCUUAGGGUUGUAAAGUACUUGCAGCGGGGAGGCGUUACCCGCAGAAGAAGCACCGGCUAACUCCGUGCCAGCCGCCGCGGUAAUAC